rnacentral:misc_RNA from 1 species
AAGUCGUAACAAGGUUUCCGUAGGUGAACCUGCGGAGGGAUCAUUACAGAGUUCAUGCCCUAACGGGUAGAUCUCCCACCCUAUGUUAUUAUUACUUUGUUGCUUUGGCGGGCCGUCAGGCUCACGCCCGGCUACCGGCUCACGCUGGUAAGCGCCCGCCAGAGUCCAACCAAACUCUUGUAUUAAACCAGUCGUCUGAGUAUAAAAUUUUAAUUAAAUUAAAA